AUGAAAGUAGGCAAGGCGAUGGGCCCUGAUUGUAUCCCCAUUGAGGUGUGGAGAGACCUCGGAGACAUAGGUAUAGUAUGGCUAACUAAGCUUUUCAACCUCAUUUUUUGGGCAAACAAGAUGCCAGAAGGAUGGAGACGGAGUAUAUUAGUACCGAUCUUCAAGAACAAAGGGGAUGUUCAGAGUUGUACUAAUUACCGUGGAAUUAAGAUGAUGAGCCAUACAAUGAAACUAUGGGAGAGGGUCAUUGAGCACCGCUUAAGAAGUAUGACAAGCGUGGUCGGAAAUCAGUUUGGUUUCAUGCAUGGGAGGUCGACCAUGGAAGCCAUUUUCUUGGUACGACAACUCAUGGAGAGAUACAGGGAGCAAAAGAAGGACCUGCAUAUGGUGUUCAUUGACUUGGAGAAGGCCUGUGAUAAGAUACCGUGGAAUGUCAUGUGA
rnacentral:rRNA from 1 species